ACAUACAUGCGCGCAGCUGAUGCAGCCAUGCCGCGUGUGUGAGAAGGCCUUCGGGUUGUAAAGCACUUUCAGCGGGGAGGAAGGGAGUUGAGUUAAUACCUUUGCUCAUUGACGUUACCCGCAGAACAAGCACCGGCUAACUCCGUGCCAGCAGCCGCGGUAAUAA
rnacentral:rRNA from 1 species